rnacentral:rRNA from 1 species
UUCGCAAUGCCCGAAAGGGUGACGAAGCGACGCCGCGUGGGUGAGGAAGGCCUUCGGGUUGUAAAGCUCUGUCAGGAGUUAAGAAAUGUAAGUGUGCUAAUACCACAUUUAUUUGACGAAGGCUCCAAAGGAAGCCACGGCUAACUCUGUGCCAGCAGCCGCGGUAAUACAGAGGUGGCAAGCGUUGUUCGGAAUUAUUGGGCGUAAAGAGCACGUAGGUGGGUUUGUAAGUCAGAUGUGAAAGCCUUCUGUUCAACGGAAGAAUUGCAUCUGAAACUGCGAGUCUUGAGUGUAGGAGGGGAGAGUGGAACUUCUGGUGGAGCGGUGAAAUGCGUAGAUAUCAGAAGGAACGUCGGCGGCGAAAGCGACUCUCUGGCCUAUUACUGACACUGAGUGUGCGAAAGUUAGGGGAGCAAACGGGAUUAGAUACCCCGGUAGUCCUAACCGUAAACGAUGGGCACUAAGUAGAGGGGUUUU